rnacentral:lncRNA from 1 species
ACAAAUCAGCUACGGAGAGUUUGGAGGUGUUUAGCAAGAAACAAAUCUCACCCGCACAGACCAUCCCCUCCCAACUUUCCCCACCUCCUGUUGCUAGGGUUCGGGAAUGGCGAGGAUACCGACGCUCGUCGCGUUUGCCGUCCGCCGCGCGGCCACCGCCACCACCGCCGCGGGGAAGGCCAUCUGGGACGCCAAGGGGGUUCUCAUCGUGGGGGGCGCCGCGGUCGCCGCCUGGGUCUACCGUGCCGAUCUUGGUCGCCUCGCCGACCAUCUGUUUUCACAGGGCCGCACCCACACUCCAGAGGAUAGGGAUCAGAGGUGACAGCUUCGUCUCCUCCUCCUGGCGUUCGUCCUUCUCCUCUUCCCCCUCCACUCCCUGUUGGCUACGAGGGCAGGGCACAAUCCUUAUGCGUGCGAUUUGUGCAGGGUGAGGGCAAAGCGAGCGGCCAACAAAGGGGCCCGGAAGGUGGUGCGGGACGCGCACGGACUAUACUCAAAGAACCACGGCCGGGCGGGCGGACACUGAAUCCAGGUAUAAAUCGGUUCGAGGUCGAUCUUUCCGUUUGAGUUUCCUGCGGUCGUACAGGCUCCCUGCUAAAUCGGGUCGGUUAGAGUCGAUCUAUCUGCGGUCGGUUAGAGGUCGAUUUCUCUGUGGCAAAUCAGUUGGAGGUCGAGGUGGUAAAUCGGUAGGGGAUCUCCAUGUUGGUGUGCAUGUUGUGAGUAGGCUGCGUGAUUGGAACACCAUAAAAAGGAAUGAAGCUGAAGAAAAUUGCAUCGUUUCUCUAAAAAAACUGUAUAACUGAUGCCUUAUGUUUGCUUCAUCCCAUUCUGAUAUGACAGUCCUUAGUUUAUUUGUUUGUGUGCACUGCACCUGUAUUGUAUUUGCUGAAAUUUGUUGAAUUCGCAUGAACCCGGAAGUCUGUGGACCUGAACUUGUUGAAUUAUCCGCCCCUGUCCGCGAGCUGCAGACCUGUUUAGAUCACAAGUAAGCUGUAGAUGGGCGCUCUUUACUGGAGUAUUUCAUUGUUCUCCCUGUAAGAUUUUUGAUUCAAGGGGACAGAGCUUGUAGGAACAUGUGACUCUACAUCUGCUUGUCGAUCUGUCCAGAUGUGCAUGUUGGGAGUAGUCUGUGUGAGGGGAACAGCAUAAUAAUAAACAUGUAUAAAGGAUUAUAUCAGAGUUAGUAGUAAUUUUCUUGAAUUGUGCUUUGUUUUCCUGUUGAGAAAUUGCGAAAUCUAAAUCUAAAAGGAACUGCUAUGUUGAUUUUGCUUUCUCAAAGCUUGGCAAGAAAAUUGCAUUGUUUCUCUCCUUUCAAACCGUGUAAAUGAUGCCUUAUGUUUAUGCUCUUUCCAUUCUGAUGUAACAGUCUUUAUUUUAUUUGUUUGUGUGCAUCUGCUGAAUUUUAUUGAAUUCAAGUGGAUCUGAAGUCUCUAUAUGGACCUCAAUUUUUUUGAAUUCUCUGCCGCAGUCCGCCAGCUGCAGUGUGACUUUAGCUGUUUAGAUCACAAGUAGGCUGUAGGUGGGCGCUCAGCAGUCAUACGACGCUUUUCCUGGAGUUGCUUGCUUGAUAUUCCAUCAGUCUUCUCCCUGCAUCUCGUUAUUGCUUCAUUUGCAUCUGUAACCGAGUGGCAUCAGUGCUGAUUGCUGGACAAUGAUACUAUAAUUGAGCUAGUUUUUACGACAAUAUAGUCCUCCCUUGCCAUAUACCUGGUUGCUUUGUGAUUGAAGUACUACUCAGUUCACAGAUGCAUUCUUUGUCAAAAAGAAUACACCACCCUGCUGAAUGUAUUAUGAGACUAUUACAAUAGAAGAAUUUUUUUGCCAUAAUAUAUAAUGCCUUUGUGACUCACCAGAUUUCCCACAUUGCUUAGAUACUUAUACCAGUAACAUUCAUGAAUCCUCCCACAAAAUAAAUAAAUAAUGAAUCUGAUGCAUUGUGUUUGCAACUUUUUUCUAGUGGCUAGCCCAUUAAUUAAGUGGAACAGGUCUUUCUUACCUCUUAACCUUGUUUCUUUGGCUCUAUAAGGUAGCAUGGAGUGGUAUAGUCUUAGCUGCCUUCUAUAUAAAACAAAGACUACGUAAGGUGUAGAUUCAAGUGAUUGAAUCAGUUUUCUGUGAAAAAUCGAAUCAGUUUUUACUUCAAAAUAUGCAUCGUUAGUUGUAUUUCAUUCUCAUACAUUGCAAAAUGCCAAGAUACAUGCAAGUUUAACCAACACUAAAAAUUUGCAUCAAUGUGACUUUAACCAACUCUAAAAAUCCUUCAAGUCAAAGGAAAGAGAUUACAACUAUCCUGUCAGAGAUAUUUGGUAGAAGAAUCGAACAUAUUGUGGUUCACUACAUCAAACCAACCUGAUUGAUUGUCUGUUACACUAAAGCAAGGUUUUGGAGGGUUGCAGCGUUGCAUAUUUUGGUUGUAAUAAAAGGUUAUAAAAGGUUUUCAGUAUACAGUUCUGGGCACUUCUAGCUACUCAGUAGAGCGCGUUUAGCCUUUAAAAGGCUGUCAUAUUAUCACAUUGACCUGUGAGCUGUUCCUCUAAUAUCUGUGGUGGGGUUAUUAAAUAUUUCCAGUUAGUUUUGCUCAUGUUUAUUUUUAUGACAGUUUAUUGUGUGAUUAGAUUCUUUGGUCCAUAUCCAACUGGUGAGCUCUAUCAAAAUUAAUACGAUAGUAAAUUCUUGAACAACUGUAAAGAUUGCACCAGCAAAUGAUAUCAAGCCUCACCGACAAAUAGUGCAAGCCCCAAAUAGAAACAUAUAGGUUUAGUGGUGCGCCAGUAUAAGUUUAAUGGCCUUCUAAAUUAUUUGCCAACUAUUUUCUCUCAUUUAUGCAUUGCCCAAAGUUACUGAACAAGUUCUUGUAAAUUCUUUGCAGACUACAAGAGUGGGGGAGACAUAAUGGAUAAAGGGCGUAAAUCAAAUGGUGAUAAAAAGGCGUUGUACAAAUGGUGAAAAGUUUUAGGUGAAGACACUAGUGGUUUAAUCAAUUUCCUGUUAUAUUGCUCAAUCUGUGACUUGUGCGGUCAUCUAUUUCUGUUGAAUCCAUGACUUGUGCCGUCGUCAUCUGAAAUUUUGAAAUAAUGAUUGAGUGAUGCCAACUUCAAAUCUGUUUGUUGAGCUGGCUUAUGGUAAAAUCUUGCUAGUUGUUUGGUUGUUCUCUGUCUCACGUUACUUACUUGUUUUGAGCUAGGGUGUAAGCUAUUUGGUUUGCGUGUGCUGGGGUUGACAGCUCCUGGCCUGGAGCCCCCUGAUGCAUCCAGAACUGUCUAUGGUUCACGUCCUGGACCAUCCAGUGGUAGCCCGGCCAGGACAUGUCAAGGCGAGUGAUGCCUGGAGGAGCGGCAGCUACCCUAGGUCCUAAUUCAGAUUUAGGGAAAUGGAUAGGGCCAUGGCUGCAUAGCCUGCUUGAGGACAUUUGCCGCCAGGCGUGACAGGUGCCAGAUUGUCACGUUCUCCACACCAGCUUUUUUCGUGAAACUCUGGGCGUCUUGCUGAGACGCUCAGCCACAUCUCCAGAGAUGGGUUUCACCUGGGUUAACGGUUGGAUGGAUCAGGAGCAAGAUCCUCCCCUAUGGGACGACGCUGGUCAAUGCUAACACCAGAGCACAGAUCUGAUCCAAAUCAAACAGAGAAACGUCGCCAGGUGGCAUACCAUACAAACGACAUUUAGGUCGAGAACGCUUUCAAAUGCAUAUAUUGGUGAGAGCAGAUAUCAUCAGAGCUGGGAGUCACUACUGUGACUAAAGGGUGCUAUGAACAAUUGCAGACAACCAGAACAUCAAAGAAUAUCUGUGUUAACCGAAGGAACACAAAUAAUUGAACUGCCAAACCAGGUUGGAAAUUAUACUGUGUGAUAAUAGCAUGAGUACCUUUUCUGUCCGACACGUCUCCAUGAACAAAUUGAUGCGGGCUAAUCCACAACAGUUCUCAUCUUGCAAAUACUUGGUAGCCGACACAAAAACUCCAGUGACCAACAAACGUUGAAGGGAAGCUCACACUCCACCUUUAUUUACCUUAAAAAGGGAUAACAAAUGAGGACAAAGAGCUAGAACAAACGUAAAUGAAUUGGAAUUCUACUAACUGGUUCCUCGUCAUCCCUAGUUGAAUACUUCCCUAAUUUUAGCAGAAUUUCAUGAUAAUACGGUACCAAACAGAGAGGAAAAAGCACAGUUGGUGGAGGAGAGACUCAAGGAAAACAUGACAAGACACACACAACACAUUUUGGAUUGUCACACUUGUGGAUAUUAGUACUUUUUUCUAUAAAUUUGGAUAUUGCGGGUAUUAGUACUUUUUUCUAUAAAUUUGGUCAAACUUGAGCAAGUUUGAUUUUUGGUUCAUAUACUAAGGUUGCCACCAUUUGCCACACUUUUUGCCACACAGGCCUAAAAGGUUAGGUGACUAAAAUUGGGGCUACACUCUGCUUCGCUUGAGGUAAUCUUGCCACACUUUUCUAAGCCAAUGACAUGUGAGAUCUAGUUUGAAUGGAACGAAUCUUGCCACGAGUAUGACUGCAAACCAAACAGGGAAUUAACUAAGUCAAACUCGCGUAACUUGUGGCGUGCUAAAAUUGUGGCAAGCUUAGCAUCCCAACCAAACAAGUUAUAAAACUUCCAAGUGUUUUGGAACAGAUGAGUAGUGAUAAAAAUAAAGUCCCAAGGGCAUCUCUAGCAGAUCCCUUACAGGUUAUAUUUGAGGAGAAAAAAAA